CCAAAAUAGGUAUACAUCACCUAUUCCGAGUCGCCAAAUACAUGGUCAAAAAUACAAAUACAAUCUUAAAUAUACAACAAGAGCUGUGAGUUUUAAUACAAAUAUUGUCUUCUAGACAAUAUCCACUCUCAGAAUAAGUCCUCAUUACAUUAAUUAUCACACUAUUUUAUAGAAUGGUGAGGACUAAAACACCAUCUCGGACCGUCACUCCGUUCCCCGACUAGUCCCGGCUAUGUUCUCAUUUCCUGAAGAGAAUAGUGAAAGAAAGGGUGAGCUCAACUAGCCCAGUAAGAAAUAUUAUGACUAAGAUAAUGCAGAAUAAAUUAUCAUUAGUCUUCAACAAUGUUAAACUGAUAAAAUACAAUAGACAUAAAGUUUAACUGCAGCAGAACAAGCAAUCCAUUAAAAGAGUCA
rnacentral:lncRNA from 1 species